CGCAACUGGGCGAGGCGGCCUGCCUCGUCGGUGUCGCCAUCGCCGAACAGCCGCUCGAACACGGCGCGGGGGUUCGCCUCCACCGGCAGCGGC
rnacentral:tRNA from 1 species